AUUCAGCUGACGAGUUCCGAAUAGGACGAAACGCGCUUCAUGAAU
rnacentral:hammerhead_ribozyme from 1 species